UUUAGCUGCCUAGAAUUAACGGCAGAGUUUGCGAUCAAAAAGUUAGCCUUAAGCCUCUUUUAUAAGGUACACUCAGAGAUGGCAAGGAUCUUUAUUGUCGCCUUGACUGUUGACAUUCCCGCAUUUGAGAAAAAGCGCUGGCUUCAGCUGCCUGACCAUCCUUGGAACUUGGCUCCUGAAAUGGAAACUGAAUGUAAACCCACCCAAAAGUAGUUCCCUACUUAUCUCUCCUGGAGAAAAAGGAACAAUUUAAUUAGGCGUGUUGUUCCGUAAAGGA